rnacentral:lncRNA from 1 species
CUUCAUGAGCUGCAACCUCAUCACCAGUGGGCCUUUCUCCUCCUCUUCAUCAUACUCACCCUCCUCUUCAUCCUCCUCUUCAUCCUCCUCUUCAUCCUCCUCUUCAUCCUCCUCUUCAUCCUCCUCUUCAUCCUCCUCCUCCUUCUCCUCACCCUUCUCCUUCUCUUCCCCUUCCUUCAUGAGCUGCAACCUCAUCACUGGUGGGCCUUCAUCCCCUCUUCAUCAUCCUCAUCCUCUUCCUCACCCUCCUCUUCAUCCUCAUCCUCCUUCUCUUCAUCAUCCUCCUCCUUCUCCUCCUCCUUCUCCUCACUCUCCUCGCUCUCCUCUUCCCCUUCCUUCAUGAGCUGCAACCUCAUCACUGGUGCACCUUCCUCCUCCUCAUCCUCCUCUUCAUCCUCCUCUUCGUCCUCCUCUUCGUCCUCCUCUUCGUCCUCCUCUUCGUCCUCCUCUUCGUCCUCCUCUUCGUCCCCCUCAUCCUUCUCCUCCUCCUUCUCACCCUCCUUCUUCUUCCCCUUCCUUCAUGAGCUGCAACCUCAUCACUGGUGGGCCUUCCUCAUCAUCAUCCUCCUCAUCCUCUUCAUCCUCCUCUUCAUCCUCCCCUUCAUCCUCCUCCUCCUCCUCCUCCUUCUCCUCACCUUUCUCCUCCUCCUCUUCCCCUUCCUUCAUGAGCUGCAACCUCAUCACUGGUGGGCCUUCCUCAUCAUCAUCCUCCUCAUCCUCUUCAUCCUCCUCUUCAUCCUCCCCUUCAUCCUCCUCCUCCUCCUCCUCCUUCUCCUCACCUUUCUCCUCCUCCUCUUCCCCUUCCUUCAUGAGCUGCAACCUCAUCACUGGUGGGCCUUCAUCCCCUCUUCAUCAUCAUCUUCAUCCUCCUCAUCCUCCUCCUCCUCCUCCUCCUCCUCUUCCUUUCUUCUUUCCCUUCCCCUUCCUCUUUCUCUUCUGCUUCCCCUUCCUCAUCCCUUUUCCCUUCCCCUUCAUCUUCUUCUUCCCCUUCCUCCUUCUCUUUCUCCUCCUCCUUCUCUUCCUCAUCCUCCUCCUCUUCCUCU